rnacentral:rRNA from 1 species
GUGGGGAAUAUUGGGCAAUGGGCGAAAGCCUGACCCAGCAACGCCGCGUGAAGGAAGAAGGCCCUCGGGUUGUAAACUUCUUUUAAGAGGGACGAAAGAAAUGACGGUACCUCUUGAAUAAGCCACGGCUAACUACGUGCCAGCAGCCGCGGUAAUACGUAGGUGGCGAGCGUUAUCCGGAUUUACUGGGUGUAAAGGGCGUGUAGGCGGGAGUGCAAGUCAGAUGUGAAAAUUAUGGGCUCAACCCAUAACCUGCAUUUGAAACUGUUCUUCUUGAGUGAUGGAGAGGCAGGCGGAAUUCCGUGUGUAGCGGUGAAAUGCGUAGAUAUACGGAGGAACACCAGUGGCGAAGGCGGCCUGCUGGACAUUAACUGACGCUGAGGCGCGAAAGCGUGGGGAGCAAACAGGAUUAGAUACCCUAGUAGUCC